AACGAACGCUGGCGGCAUGCCUAACACAUGCAAGUCGAACGAGACCUUCGGGUCUAGUUGCGCACGGGUGCGUAACGCGUGGGAACCUGCCCUUAGGUUCGGAAUAACUCCCCGAAAGGGGUGCUAAUACCGGAUAAUUUCUUCGGACCAAAGAUUUAUCGCCCUUGGAUGGGCCCGCGUUGGAUUAGCUAGUUGGUAGGGUAAAAGCCUACCAAGGCGACGAUCCAUAGCUGGUCUGAGAGGAUGAGCAGCGACACUGGGACUGGGACACGGCCCAGACUCCUACGGGAGGCAGCAGUGGGGAAUAUUGGACAAUGGGCGAAAGCCUGAUCCAGCAAUGCCGCGUGAGUGAUGAAGGCCUUAGGGUUGUAAAGCUCUUUUACCCGGGAUGAUAAUGACAGUACCGGGUGAAUAAGCUCCGGCUAACUCCGUG
rnacentral:rRNA from 1 species